rnacentral:rRNA from 1 species
UACGUAGGGGGCAAGCGUUGUCCGGAAUCAUUGGGCGUAAAGAGCGUGUAGGCGGCCCGGUAAGUCUGUUGUGAAAGUCCAGGGCUCAACCCUGGAAAGCCGAUGGAUACUGCCGGGCUAGAGUUCGGAAGAGGCGAGUGGAAUUCCUGGUGUAGCGGUGGAAUGCGCAGAUAUCAGGGGGAACACCUAUAGCGAAGGCAGCUCGCUGGGACGACACUGACGCUGAGACGCGAAAGCGUGGGGAGCGAACAGG